AUUGAACGCUGGCGGCAGGCCUAACACAUGCAAGUCGAACGAGUGGCGGACGGGUGAGUAAUGUCUGGGAAACUGCCCGAUGGAGGGGGAUAACUCCUGGAAACGGUAGCUAAUACCGCAUACCAUCGGAUGUGCCCAGAUGGGAUUAGCUAGUAGGUGGGGUAACGGCUCACCUAAGCGACGAUCCAUAGCUGGUCUGAGAGGAUGACCAGCCACACGUGAACGGAAACACGGUCCAGACGCUGUCGGGAGCCAGCAGUGGGGAAUAUAGCACAAUGGGCGCAAGCCUGAUGCAGCCAUGCCGCAUGUAUGAAGAAGGCCUUCGGGUUGUAAAGUACUUUUAGCGAGGAGGCGUUACUCGCAGAAGAAGCACCGGCUAACCCCGUGCCAGCAGCCGCGGUAAUAC
rnacentral:rRNA from 1 species